CCUACGGGGGCUGCAGUAGGGAAUCUUCCACAAUGGACGAAAGUCUGAUGGAGCAACGCCGCGUGUGUGAUGAAGGGUUUCGGCUCGUAAAACACUGUUGUAAGAGAAGAAUGACAUUGAGAGUAACUGUUCAGUGUGUGACGGUAUCUUACCAGAAAGGAACGGCUAAAUACGUGCCAGCAGCCGCGGUAAUACGUAUUUUCCAAGCGUUAUCCGGAUUUAUUGGGCGUAAAGAGAGCGCAGACGGUUGUUUAAGUGCCAAGUGAAAGCCCACAACUUAAGUGUGGAAUCGCUUUAGAAACUGGAUAACUUGAGUCCAGUAGAGGAGAGUGGAACUCCAUGUGUAGCGGUGAAAUGCGUAGAUAUAUGGAAGAACACCAGUGUCCAAGGCGGCUCUCUGGACUGUAACUGACGUUGAGGCUCGAAAGUGUGGGUAGCAAACAGGAUUAGAUACCCCGGUAGUC
rnacentral:rRNA from 1 species